UUUGUCUGAGUGAGACAUCUGUUUUAGAGAGGAUCGUUCCUGGAGAGUGCUGGCAGCCUGGACAGCUGACGUUCAUCAGCCUCAUCAGUGGACUGGGAAUUUGAGGAGCUACAGAACUUUCUCCCUCUCUACUGGCUGAUUUACCUUACUGCUAGUCUCUAGAUGUUCUUGAGAAGGACGUUCCUGGAAUUCAUUGGAUAUCUUUAGGAAUCUUGAUUUUUUUUUUCCCUCUGCCACAUUUUCGACAGAACCGUCCGACUUUCCAUGUCCUUGCAUCAGGUCUGAUGCCUGCCGGAAAAAUCGGUUUUCAUAAGUGCUGCUGCCAGAUUGCAGGAAAACUGACUGGUGACUCCAACCCAUUGACUACUGGAGACAGACACCAACUCCCCAUCGAUCCUGCCAGGAUUACCUGGAAUAGAUGAUGGAUGUUCACUGUUAAAUGUGAUAAAAUUAGCAGUUUCUUUUCAUUGAAACAAAUGACUGUAAAAAUGAUAUCCAUUCUGAACAAUGAUUAUAUUUAUAUCGCUAGAAUACGACUGAUGCAAAAACAUCUGGCACGAAAUAACAUCCUUCUUUAUUCCAUGUUCUUUAUUCAAAGUAGCAAUGUCUGCGUAGCCUAGCAUCUACUUGCCAUCAAAAAAAAUCAAACAGUUUGUGGCACAUGUAAUAAAAUCUUGCAGUAAAAGGUUAAUCAGGAAUAUACCAAAGUAUGACAUAUCCACAGUCAUCAUAAAACAGACGGCAUACACAGAUCCAAAUAUGAACACAAAAACUUGUUUAAAUGUUUAUUCUCAUGGAUCAUUUUAUUCAGCAUAAAAUUUUAUUUUUGUU